rnacentral:lncRNA from 1 species
UACAUGGCAAUUAAAUGUAAUAUUUAAUCACUAGAUGGUAAUUCUUAUCAUUUACCAAUUAAUUUCUAUCCUUUGGUAAAUUAAAAUAUUUAUACAAUAACAUCGUAAUUAAACCCGGUAAUUUAAAUUAGGGUUUUCUAUAGAAAAAUUAGGGUUCUAUAAUUAGGGUUUCUUAACGUCAUCAAUUAGGGUUUCUAAUUG